UACGAACGCUGGCGGCGUGCUUAACACAUGCAAGUCGAACGGAAAGGCCCUGCUUUUGUGGGGUGCUCGAGUGGCGAACGGGUGAGUAACACGUGAGUAACCUGCCCUUGACUUUGGGAUAACUUCAGGAAACUGGGGCUAAUACCGGAUAGGAGCUCCUGCUGCAUGGUGGGGGUUGGAAAGUUUCGGCGGUUGGGGAUGGACUCGCGGCUUAUCAGCUUGUUGGUGGGGUAGUGGCUUACCAAGGCUUUGACGGGUAGCCGGCCUGAGAGGGUGACCGGCCACAUUGGGACUGAGAUACGGCCCAGACUCCUACGGGAGGCAGUAGUGGGGAAUAUUGCACAAUGGGCGGAAGCCUGAUGCAGCAACGCCGCGUGCGGGAUGACGGCCUUCGGGUUGUAAACCGCUUUCGCCUGUGACGAAGCGUGAGUGACGGUAAUGGGUAAAGAAGCACCGGCUAACUACGUG
rnacentral:rRNA from 1 species